UACAGAGGGGGCAAGCGUUGUUCGGAAUUACUGGGCGUAAAGGGCGCGUAGGCGGCCGAUCAAGUCAGGCGUGAAAUUCCCGGGCUCAACCUGGGGGCUGCGCUUGAUACUGAUUGGCUUGAAUGCGGGAGAGGAUAGUGGAAUUCCCAGUGUAGAGGUGAAAUUCGUAGAUAUUGGGAAGAACACCGGUGGCGAAGGCGGCUAUCUGGCCCGUAAUUGACGCUGAGGCGCGAAAGCGUGGGGAGCAAACAGG
rnacentral:rRNA from 1 species